UCAAGCGAGAAAGUCCCCGCAAGGGGAUGAGUACAGCGGCUUAACGGGUGAGUAACAAGUGGGCAACCUGCCCUUCAGUCAGGAAUAACCCCGCGAAAGCGGGGCUAAUACCAGAUGAUGUCCUUUAGGGGCAUCCCCGAGGGAUCAAAGGGGGCGAGUGCAAACAGCUCCCACUGAAGGAUGGGCCUGCGGCUGAUUAGCUAGUUGGUGAGGUGACGGCUCACCAAGGCCACGAUCAGUAGCCGACCUGAGAGGGUGACCGGCCACACUGGGACUGAGACACGGCCCAGACUCCUACGGGAGGCAGCAGUGGG
rnacentral:sRNA from 1 species